GAUGAACGCUGGCGGCGUGCCUAAUACAUGCAAGUCGAGCGAACAGACGAGGAGCUUGCUCCUCUGACGUUAGCGGCGGACGGGUGAGUAACACGUGGAUAACCUACCUAUAAGACUGGGAUAACUUCGGGAAACCGGAGCUAAUACCGGAUAAUAUAUUGAACCGCAUGGUUCAAUAGUGAAAGACGGUUUUGCUGUCACUUAUAGAUGGAUCCGCGCCGCAUUAGCUAGUUGGUAAGGUAACGGCUUACCAAGGCAACGAUGCGUAGCCGACCUGAGAGGGUGAUCGGCCACACUGGAACGGAGACACGGUCCAGACUCCUACGGGAGGCAGCAGUAGGGAAUCCUCCGCAAUGGGCGAAAGCUUGACGGAGCAACGCCGCGUGAGUGAUGAAGGUCUUCGGAUCGUAAAACUCUGUUAUUAGGGAAGAACAAAUGUGUAAGUAACUAUGCACGUCUUGACGGUACCUAAUCAGAAAGCCACGGCUAACUACGUG
rnacentral:rRNA from 1 species